UUAUUACUCUGACAAGGAAGAGUACCCAACUGCCCGACAAUUCCGAUUAGAUUUUUUUUUAAUUUAAUUUAAUUUAUACAGUAGUCCAAAAUCUCAGACAUGAUUUUUUUUUAGCUGCCCAAAAAUGAUAAGAAAAGUACUGUGAUUUGUUAAUUAUAAACGGGUAAAUUAUAACGCAUGAUAUGUGAGAGACUUUAUUUAACUUAAUUACCUUAUCAAAAAUAUUAGAAUAAAAAUUUUUCAUGUUUUUAUAUAUAGUCGAAAUUUUAUAAGGUGGACGUUUUACCAUUUCACUGUGGUAAACUUUCACUCAGGUGGUAAACGUCCAGCUUAUAAAAUUUCGACUAUAAUUUACGCUGUGCCUUAUGAGAAAAUGUUACUUACUUGUUUUUUUUGUGCAGCUAAUUAUGUCAGUAAGACAAAUUCUUAUCAAUCUUUAUAGCAUUUAAAAAUUACUUUAUUUAAUAACAGGCAGGCCUAUUUGUCAUAUACGUCCUUAGUAAAACUUUACUAACAAUAAUUUUUGUUGUUUUACAUGUAAAACAUUCAACUUAUAACUUUGUUAUACAGGUACUCGUGGGUACUUGGUAUGUUAACUAUUUAAUAAUAUUUGAUUGUGCCAAAGUGUAAUUAUAAUCUUUUCGAAUAUAUCUCUUAUUUUUAAACAAACUCCUAUAGUUUUAUUUUUUAUUUUUGUGUCAUUAUUAAACUUAAUGACACAAAAAUAAUAUACAGAACCCACGUCGUUAUUAUUGUCUUAACCCUCGGUAUUAGGUUUCGAAUUUUGAGUUUGGUUUCUAUUAACGAGUGCAGAAAAAUCAUGCCAAUUGUACCCUCGGUAAUGAAAGCUCAAUUCGCGAUAAUAGAAUCACAGCCUGUCCCUUGCCACGGUAAUAGAAGAUUUGGUCAUUUUGGCUUCAAAAAAUAUUUUAAUACAUACAAUAACCCAAAAUGAAUCCAAAAACGUGUGAAACGGAAAGUUCAUUAAAUGCUCUGAUGAAAAAAAGAUAUUCCUGGCUGUUAGACAGCAUUGAUACCCUUAAUUUUUGGAUCUCUUUUGAAAAGUUCCUUAACUACCACGGUAAUAGGUGCCUUUACCUUAUACCAAAUAAACAGAUA